GACGGGUGAGUAAUGUCUGGGAAACUGCCUGAUGGAGGGGGAUAACUACUGGAAACGGUAGCUAAUACCGCAUAACGUCGCAAGACCAAAGAGGGGGACCUUCGGGCCUCUUGCCAUCGGAUGUGCCCAGAUGGGAUUAGCUAGUAGGUGGGGUAACGGCUCACCUAGGCGACGAUCCCUAGCUGGUCUGAGAGGAUGACCAGCCACACUGGAACUGAGACACGGUCCAGACUCCUACGGGAGGCAGCAGUGGGGAAUAUUGCACAAUGGGCGCAAGCCUGAUGCAGCCAUGCCGCGUGUAUGAAGAAGGCCUUCGGGUUGUAAAGUACUUUCAGCGGGGAGGAAGGGAGUAAAGUUAAUA
rnacentral:rRNA from 1 species